UACGGGGGGGGCAAGCGUUGUUCGGAAUUACUGGGCGUAAAGGGCUCGUAGGUGGCCAACUAAGUCAGACGUGAAAUCCCUCGGCUUAACCGGGGAACUGCGUCUGAUACUGGAUGGCUUGAGGUUGGGAGAGGGAUGCGGAAUUCCAGGUGUAGCGGUGAAAUGCGUAGAUAUCUGGAGGAACACCUGUGGCGAAGGCGGCUUUCUGGGCCCUACCUGACGCUGAGACGCGAAAGCGUGGGGAGCGAACCGG
rnacentral:rRNA from 1 species